rnacentral:rRNA from 7 species
CCUGGUGGCUCGUCGUCGUAGCACCACCCGAUCCCAUUCCGAACUCGGAAGUGAAAUGCGAUUGAGCCGAUGAUACUCAUCAGGGGAAAGUAGGUAGCCGCCAGGA